rnacentral:rRNA from 1 species
AAGUCGAGCGGACCGACGGGAGCUUGCUCCCUUAGGUCAGCGGCGGACGGGUGAGUAACACGUGGGUAACCUGCCUGUAAGACUGGGAUAACUCCGGGAAACCGGGGCUAAUACCGGAUGCUUGAUUGAACCGCAUGGUUCAAUCAUAAAAGGUGGCUUUUAGCUACCACUUGCAGAUGGACCCGCGGCGCAUUAGCUAGUUGGUGAGGUAACGGCUCACCAAGGCGACGAUGCGUAGCCGACCUGAGAGGGUGAUCGGCCACACUGGGACUGARACACGGCCCAGACUCCUACGGGAGGCAGCAGUAGGGAAUCUUCCGCAAUGGACGAAAGUCUGACGGAGCAACGCCGCGUGAGUGAUGAAGGUUUUCGGAUCGUAAAACUCUGUUGUUAGGGAAGAACAAGUACCGUUCGAAUAGGGCGGYACCUUGACGGUACCUAACCAGAAAGCCACGGCUAACUACGUGCCAGCAGCCGCGGUAAUACGUAGGUGGCAAGCGUUGUCCGGAAUUAUUGGGCGUAAAGCGCGCGCAGGCGGUUUCUUAAGUCUGAUGUGAAAGCCCCCGGCUCAACCGGGGAGGGUCAUUGGAAACUGGGGAACUUGAGUGCAGAAGAGGAGAGUGGAAUUCCACGUGUAGCGGUGAAAUGCGUAGAGAUGUGGAGGAACACCAGUGGCGAAGGCGACUCUCUGGUCUGUAACUGACGCUGAGGCGCGAAAGCGUGGGGAGCGAACAGGAUUAGAUACCCUGGUAGUCCACGCCGUAAACGAUGAGUGCUAAGUGUUAGAGGGUUUCCGCCCUUUAGUGCUGCAGCAAACGCAUUAAGCACUCCGCCUGGGGAGUACGGUCGCAAGACUGAAACUCAAAGGAAUUGACGGGGGCCCGCACAAGCGGUGGAGCAUGUGGUUUAAUUCGAAGCAACGCGAAGAACCUUACCAGGUCUUGACAUCCUCUGACAACCCUAGAGAUAGGGCUUCCCCUUCGGGGGCAGAGUGACAGGUGGUGCAUGGUUGUCGUCAGCUCGUGUCGUGAGAUGUUGGGUUAAGUCCCGCAACGAGCGCAACCCUUGAUCUUAGUUGCCAGCAUUCAGUUGGGCACUCUAAGGUGACUGCCGGUGACAAACCGGAGGAAGGUGGGGAUGACGUCAAAUCAUCAUGCCCCUUAUGACCUGGGCUACACACGUGCUACAAUGGGCAGAACAAAGGGCAGCGAAGCCGCGAGGCUAAGCCAAUCCCACAAACCUGUUCUCAGUUCGGAUCGCAGUCUGCAACUCGACUGCGUGAAGCUGGAAUCGCUAGUAAUCGCGGAUCAGCAUGCCGCGGUGAAUACGUUCCCGGGCCUUGUACACACCGCCCGUCACACCACGAGAGUUUGUAACACCCGAAGUCGGUGAGGUAACCUUGGAGCCAGCCGCC